GACGAACGCUGGCGGCGUGCUUAACACAUGCAAGUCGAACGAUGAAGCUGGAGCUUGCUCCGGUGGAUUAAUGGCGAACGGGUGAGUAACACGUGAGCAAUCUGCCCUUGACUCUGGGAUAACUGCGGGAAACUGUAGCUAAUACCGGAUACGAGAGCUGAAGGCAUCUUCGGGUCUGGAAAGAAUUUCGGUCAAGGAUGAGCUCGCGGCCUAUCAGCUUGUUGGUGAGGUAAUGGCUCACCAAGGCGACGACGGGUAGCCGGCCUGAGAGGGGAACCGGCCACACUGGGACUGAGACACGGCCCAGACUCCUACGGGAGGCAGCAGUGGGGAAUAUUGCGCAAUGGGCGAAAGCCUGAUGCAGCAACGCCGCGUGAGGGAUGAAGGCCUUCGGGUUGUAAACCUCUUUUAGCAGGGAAGAAGCGAAAGUGACGGUACCUGCAGAAAAAGCACCGGCUAACUACGUGCCAGCAGCCGCCGUAA
rnacentral:rRNA from 1 species